rnacentral:rRNA from 1 species
AGAGUUUGAUCAUGGCUCAGAUUGAACGCUGGCGGCAGGCCUAACACAUGCAAGUCGAACGGUAACAGGAAGCAGCUUGCUGCUUCGCUGACGAGUGGCGGACGGGUGAGUAAUGUCUGGGAAGCUGCCUGAUGGAGGGGGAUAACUACUGGAAACGGUAGCUAAUACCGCAUAAUGUCGCAAGACCAAAGAGGGGGACCUUCGGGCCUCUUGCCAUCGGAUGUGCCCAGAUGGGAUUAGCUUGUUGGUGGGGUAACGGCUCACCAAGGCGACGAUCCCUAGCUGGUCUGAGAGGAUGACCAGCCACACUGGAACUGAGACACGGUCCAGACUCCUACGGGAGGCAGCAGUGGGGAAUAUUGCACAAUGGGCGCAAGCCUGAUGCAGCCAUGCCGCGUGUAUGAAGAAGGCCUUCGGGUUGUAAAGUACUUUCAGCGGGGAGGAAGGGAGUAAAGUUAAUACCUUUGCUCAUUGACGUUACCCGCAGAAGAAGCACCGGCUAACUCCGUGCCAGCAGCCGCGGUAAUACGGAGGGUGCAAGCGUUAAUCGGAAUUACUGGGCGUAAAGCGCACGCAGGCGGUUUGUUAAGUCAGAUGUGAAAUCCCCGGGCUCAACCUGGGAACUGCAUCUGAUACUGGCAAGCUUGAGUCUCGUAGAGGGGGGUAGAAUUCCAGGGUAGCGGUGAAAUGCGUAGAGAUCUGGAGGAAUACCGGUGGCGAAGGCGGCCCCCUGGACGAAGACUGACGCUCAGGUGCGAAAGCGUGGGGAGCAAACAGGAUUAGAUACCCUGGUAGUCCACGCCGUAAACGAUGUCGACUUGGAGGUUGUGCCCUUGAGGCGUGGCUUCCGGAGCUAACGCGUUAAGUCGACCGCCUGGGGAGUACGGCCGCAAGGUUAAAACUCAAAUGAAUUGACGGGGGCCCGCACAAGCGGUGGAGCAUGUGGUUUAAUUCGAUGCAACGCGAAGAACCUUACCUGGUCUUGACAUCCACGGAAGUUUUCAGAGAUGAGAAUGUGCCUUCGGGAACCGUGAGACAGGUGCUGCAUGGCUGUCGUCAGCUCGUGUUGUGAAAUGUUGGGUUAAGUCCCGCAACGAGCGCAACCCUUAUCCUUUGUUGCCAGCGGUCCGGCCGGGAACUCAAAGGAGACUGCCAGUGAUAAACUGGAGGAAGGUGGGGAUGACGUCAAGUCAUCAUGGCCCUUACGACCAGGGCUACACACGUGCUACAAUGGCGCAUACAAAGAGAAGCGACCUCGCGAGAGCAAGCGGACCUCAUAAAGUGCGUCGUAGUCCGGAUUGGAGUCUGCAACUCGACUCCAUGAAGUCGGAAUCGCUAGUAAUCGUGGAUCAGAAUGCCACGGUGAAUACGUUCCCGGGCCUUGUACACACCGCCCGUCACACCAUGGGAGUGUGUUGCAAAAGAAGUAGGUAGCUUAACCUUCGGGAGGGCGCUUACCACUUUGUGAUUCAUGACUGGGGUGAAGUCGUAACAAGGUAACCGUAGGGGAACCUGCGGUUG